UCGAACCCUGCAAGGCAGAACGACCUGUGAACAUGUAAAUACAACUGGGUGACAGGGAUAUGGACCUUGGUCCUGAUCUCCUAACCCUUCCUGAUGUGAAUUCGUGGUGUCUUUUUUGGGCAUCAUGGAUUCCGUUGGACCAUAACAAAACCCCGGCACGGCAUGUGCCAAGGAAAACAAAAAUGAGAAGGAUGCGUCCUGUAACGCCCCGUUAGCGGUGUGCGUGCUGGUCYUGUCCUCCUUGGAAUCACAAACGACUCUCGGCAACGGAUAUCUCGGCUCACGCAUCGAUGAAGAACGUAGCAAAAUGCGAUACUUGGUGUGAAUUGCAGAAUCCCGUGAACCAUCGAGUUUUUGAACGCAAGUUGCGCCCGAAGCCAUCCGGUUGAGGGCACGUCUGCCUGGGCGUCACGCAUCGCGUCGCCUCCCAUCAUWCCUAUCCAACGGGUUGGCAUGGUGUUGGGGGCGGAUAUUGGCCUCCCGUGCUUGUGAUUCGGUUGGCCUAAAUAGGAGUUCCCUUUGGCGGACACACGACUAGUGGUGGUUGAAUAGACCGUUGUCUUGUGUUGUGUGUCGUGAGCUGUGAGGGAAGCCCUCAUCAAAGACCCCAUUGUGUUGUCUUCGGAUGAUGCUUCGAC
rnacentral:sRNA from 1 species